rnacentral:rRNA from 1 species
UCCUGCCGGAGGCCAUUGCUAUCGGAGUCCGAUUUAGCCAUGCUAGUCGCACGGGUUCAGACCCGUGGCAUAUAGCUCAGUAACACGUGGCCAAACUACCCUGUGGACGGAGAUAACCUCGGGAAACUGAGGCUAAUAUCCGAUACGACUCGCCAGCUGGAGUGCGGCGAGUCGGAAACGUUGCGGCGCCACAGGAUGUGGCUGCGGCCGAUUAGGUAGACGGUGGGGUAACGGCCCACCGUGCCCAUAAUCGGUACAGGUCAUGAGAGUGAGAGCCUGGAGACGGUAUCUGAGACAAGAUGCCGGGCCCUACGGGGCGCAGCAGGCGCGAAACCUUUACACUGCACGACAGUGCGAUAGGGGGACUCCGAGUGCGAGGGCAUAUAGUCCUCGCUUUUCUGUACCGUAAGGUGGUACAGGAAUAAGGGCUGGGCAAGACCGGUGCCAGCCGCCGCGGUAAUACCGGCAGCCCGAGUGAUGGCCGCUAUUAUUGGGCCUAAAGCGUCCGUAGCCGGCCAGACAAGUCCGUUGGGAAAUCCACGCGCUUAACGCGUGGACGUCCGGCGGAAACUGUCUGGCUUGGGGCCGGAAGAUCUGAGGGGUACGUCCGGGGUAGGAGUGAAAUCCCGUAAUCCUGGACGGACCGCCGGUGGCGAAAGCGCCUCAGAAAGACGGACCCGACGGUGAGGGACGAAAGCUAGGGUCUCGAACCGGAUUAGAUACCCGGGUAGUCCUAGCUGUAAACGAUGCUCGCUAGGUGUGCCGCAGGCUACGAGCCUGCGCUGUGCCGUAGGGAAGCCGUGAAGCGGAGCCGCCUGGGAAGUAAC